GUACUUGAUGAUAGCGCAGUAUGAGGAUACGCGUCGAAAGGGAGUUGUGAUGGUGCCGGAAGGUGCGAAUAGAGAAGGAUGGGCAUCAAAUCUCACAAGAGUUUGAAACUGUUGUUGAUUCUUUUGUUGCUGGGGAUAAAGCCAAACGUCGACCUAUGAAUGAACGUAAUCGACAAAGAUUGACUUUUGCAGACAUAACAGCAAACUUACAUGCCUCGAUGCAUGUUGACCAGCGGAGGCAACAACAAAAGGAGAUGACUGUCAAUGUCGGUGUAAACAAAGGUCAGGAAAUCAUUUGGAGAGCUUUUGGAGAGAAAUCAUUGGGGCAAAGUGUAGUGUGAUGGAGGGGGGUUAGUGUACGGUUGAGGGUCGUGGCUCCUAUAGAGUGAGCUUGUGGAGGUAUAUCCAACGAGGAUGGAGUGAUUUUAGCGACAAACUGAAUUUUGUGGUGGGCAAUGGCACUGAUAUUAGAUUUUGGGAUGAUAGUUGGUGAGGCGAUCAACCAUUAAAGGAGGGAUUUCCUUCAUUAUACCGCAUUGCGUUAGAGCCUGCUGCUAUGGUGGGUGAUGUAUUAGACAUUCAAAAUGGGGGCUUUAGUUGGAAUAUUACUUUUGGGAGGGGUUUAUAGGAUUAGGAAUUGGAAGAUUAUUCGUUGUUUUUGACUACCCUGCAUGAGAUACAAAUUCGGGUAGCAGAGAGUAAUUAUAGCAAGUGUAGGUUGGCUCGAAAUGGUAUUUUUUCAAUCCGCUCAUACUUUCAAUCCCUUUUGGGAUUUGUGGAGAGUUCAUUACCUUGAAAGAUGGUUUGGUAAAGCAAAUUGCCUCCACGGGUAGCAUUUCUAUUGUGGACAAUUAUGAGAGGGCAGGUGUCGACGGUGGAUAAUCUUUGACGCAAAGGAUUUUAUGUAACCGAGUGGUGUUAUAUGUGCAAGAAGGAUGGAGAGACAACUGAUCAUUUAUUCAUUCAUUGUGAUGGUGUACGUUGGCUUCGGAACGGUAUUCUGGCUUCUCAAUCUAUGGAUUGGGUACUACCUAGGCGUAUAGAAGAUGUGGUGCGGGCGUGGAGGAGAAAACUUCGCGAUAAGGAUAGCAAACUUCUUUGGAAUCUUAUUCCCGAAUGCAUUGUAUAAUGCAGAUGAAGAGAACGGAAUGAUCGAUGUUUCGAAGACCAAACAAAGACAAUAGAGCAGAUAAGAGAAUUAUUUUACUUGACUUUGUAUACUAGGUUUAAUGCAGUGGCUAAAAAUCCUAUUGUAGGGUUGCCUAAUUUCAUGUUGUUCCUUUCAUGCUUAAAGUGAUUGUAUACUUCCCCGUGUACUCUUUUUUAAGAAAUAAAAUUCUCUAAUUACCUAUAAAAAAAAAAU
rnacentral:lncRNA from 1 species